GUUAAAAAGCUCGUAGUUGGAUUUCUGGGAGGGUGCCAAUGUCCGCCGACGUGCGUGCGCAGCGGCGCCCUUCCAUCCUUCUGUUAACACCUCUUGGCAUUCAUUUGCUGGUGGUGGGCUCAGAUAUUUUACCUUGAGAAAAUUAGAGUGUUUCAGGCAGGCUUGGCCGGAACACAUUAGCAUGGAAUAAUGGAAUAGGACUACGGUCUCUUUGUUGGUUUGAGGGACUGCAGUAAUGAUUAAUAGGGAUAGUUGGGGGCAUUAGUAUUUAAUUGUCAGAGGUGGAAUUCUCGGAUUUGUUAAAGACUAACUUAUGCGAAAGCAUUUGCCAAGGAUGUUUUCAUUAAUCAAGAACGAAAGUUAGGGGAUCAAAGACGAUCAGAUACCGUCCUAGUCUUAACCAUAAACUAUGCCGACUCGGGAUCGGGGGCGCGAACUAUCCGCCUUCGGCACCGUAUGAGAAAUCAAAGUCCUUGGGUUCUGGGGGGAGUAUGGUC
rnacentral:rRNA from 1 species